CCCCUCUUCCUGCCAGGCUGCGGCGGGGAGAGUACAGACCUGGGAGCAAUGGAACCAUCAUGCUCCUGUCAUGGGGAAUUUAGGGGGUUGUAGACCUGAGGGACUUUGAACCAUCCAUAUCCAAGUCAUGGGCGUUCGGUUUUGUAAGAAUGGCAAUGUUUGUGAAAUCGUGGUAGAAGAUAUUGAGGAAACCACUUUGAGGAAAGGGAAAGAGGAAGAGGAAGAGAAAGUGGAAGAAAAAGUGGAA